UUAGGGAGACCUACCCACUCUGUGUUCAAAGCAAAGUGCAAAUAGACACAAGAGCAGGUCAACCAAGGUCGAGCGAGUGUUGGAUUGCAGGCUUUCAAACAAUUCCAGGUUUAUUUUUCAGGAGUGGAGCGCGAUCGGUCUAGUUCAGUUUCUUUUUUGAUAAUGAAAGAGUUCUUAAAUAAGAGUGCAAUUAAUCCUCUGUUUUAACUACUGAGCGACAGUGAACAGCGCUAGUCAACAAAAUUUAUACAACUGAACUGUUUCAGCAACUCAUCUAGUGAACAAACAUGUUAGAUUAGAGAGCCUGCUGGAAUGAAUGCCAGCAAGAACCUUGAAAAUUGCAUAGCAAAACUUGUCAGGUAGAAACAGUAGGCAAGGUUAAGUGAACGCGUUCGUGAAUAACUUCAUGAAAGAGUUUUUACUUAAGAUUGCACACUGAAUCACAGAUACUAAUGUCAAAAGA
rnacentral:misc_RNA from 1 species